rnacentral:rRNA from 1 species
UACGUAGGGUGCAAGCGUUAAUCGGAAUUACUGGGCGUAAAGCGUGCGCAGGCGGUUCGGAAAGAAAGAUGUGAAAUCCCAGGGCUUAACCUUGGAACUGCAUUUUUAACUGCCGGGCUAGAGUAUGUCAGAGGGGGGUAGAAUUCCACGUGUAGCAGUGAAAUGCGUAGAGAUGUGGAGGAAUACCGAUGGCGAAGGCAGCCCCCUGGGAUAACACUGACGCUCAUGCACGAAAGCGUGGGGAGCAAACAGG